rnacentral:tRNA from 1 species
GGCUACGUAGCUCAGUUGGUUAGAGCAUAUCACUAUAAUGCGAUAAAUACAGGUUCGAAUCCCGUCGUAGCCA